CUUGAGAUACUUUCCAAUCACCGGUCCCUUCCCCUUCCCUAAGGUCAGUGCUACUUUGAUCACUAAUGAAAAAGAUAAGCUUUGCCUGUCUUUAAACUCUAUCCCCUGGUGGCUCAGCAGUAAAGAAUCCGCCUGCCAAUGCAGGCGAUGCAGGAGAUGGAUUCAGUCCCUGGGUUGGGAAAAUCCCAUGGAGGAGGCCACGGCAACCCUCUCCAGUAUUUUUUCCAUGGGCAGAGGAACCUGACGGGCUACAGUCCAGGGAGUCGCAAAGAGUUGGACAUGACUGAGCUACUAAACAACAAAAACAAACUCUCUAUAGUGGAAUCAUCAGAAGGUCGAGAUGUUUUUAAGGGCUCCACUUUAUAGUUUCAAAGGCUAGAUUCUUUGGGAGUGAGUUAGUGUCCCAGGGCUCAUUUCUAAAGAGGCGUCAUCUUCCAGCUCAGUGGUCAUUCGACUGGUCCCAGGCGCCGGGCGGACAGGCGCAGGGUCAAAAGCCAGGCAGCAGUUGUGAGGGAAGCAGACAGGCAGAUGGAAGGAGACCCUGGGGCCGUGCUCCAGGAUACCCAACCCUGGCAAUUAGCUCAUUUUGGGAAAGAUUCUCCCACCUUGGUUCUGUCUAAAAUGCCCCAUACUGUGUUUCCUUAAAUAGCAAUGGAUGGAGACUGGCUUCAUGCACUUCAAAGCCCUUCCCUGUUUGCAUUGCACGAAUGACACAUUCCUGUCCAAAGUCAUCCAGACAAACAGCUGCUAAUUUCCUAGCAACACUGCCCUAGCCAUUCUUGCAUGGAAUGGAAUUAAUCCUGGCACAGAAAUAGAGGUUUAUAUUCAGAAAAAAAAUAAAAAAGAAAGAAAACAACUCAUAAUUCCUUCUCCCCGCCUGCCCUGCUACUCAAUCUCCACCCCCAGGGACCAUCUUGGACCAAGCUCAGCCAGGGAUUCCCAUUCUUCAGCAACUUGAAAGCCCUGACUAUGUGAUAGCUUUGUUGAGAGGACUCACAUAAGUAUUAGUACUUACAACACUUGAAUUUGUGGAAAGCCGCCAUGGACUGCUUCUUGACUUCAGGGAAUCAUCAGUUUCUGCCUCAUGACAAGUUUAUCAGGAAGUCUGGGUCUGGAGAGGGCUGAUUUAGUGAGGCAAGGGAAGAUCAGGGAGCUGGCUGGCUCUAACACCUAACACGAGGCUCAAGGGAAUGAGCGGUCCAGCUUGGUUCCUGCUUACCCACCCCCACCAGUGCCAGCGGGCUGCAUCUUCAAGCUGUUGUGGACCCAGCAGGAAGAAUGAGGGAUCCUCCCCAUGCAGAAAUCCACGGUGAUGCCCGGGGGCCUGAAUUCCUGAUCCAGAGCCUGACUUUAUUCCCUCCUCCCUGUAAUUAUAUUGCCAUCAUCCAAGAGUCGGGCACCACUUAGCAAUGAAGCACCCACCCAUCAUUCUUACCAUCCCAGCUUGGGUGUGCUCAAACUUGUGAUGGUAUGCACAGAGAAGCUUUUACUUUUUACUCAGAGUCAUGUUGACAUAAAUUGCAUUUACUUCUAUUUUAAAACAUAGCCUUCUUGUCUAAGAAUAACUGAUUUAUUUGGUAAGAAAAGACUUAUGUAUGUGGAUGUCACUAGAAGGGCAAAGGGACAGAGAGGUUUUUUCCUUUUUAAAUUUC
ensembl:lncRNA